AUACUUAUCUAGGAAGCAGAAUAUCAUGAUCAAGAAGGUGGUUUCCCCAGGGUGAGACUCUUCCAUUGCACACUUCAUUUGGGUUAACUCCUGUGAUUUCUCAAAAUGUGGUGAAUUCAACUUCUUAAUUCAGGGUAGUGUGGGACUGUGUUCAUGCAGUUUCCUG